rnacentral:ncRNA from 1 species
CGGAUAGAGGCGCAGAUCUCAUCAGUAAGUUCCGCAUAUUAUGCCGCUCGUACGGCGCGGAACGAAAGGGAAAUCUGCCGAAACGGUACGGCUUUCGAGGGUCGUAAUUCGUUGGGCGUCGGGAUAAUAUCCCGCCGACUGUCGUUUGUUUGCAAACGGAGGGCUAUCGUG